AUCAGUCAAAAAGUUUCUCAAUACGAGGUAUGCCACAACUAGGCAAUGCAACACGAGUAGUUUAGAGGUUACCUCACGAUGGAGGACUCUCUUAGUAUGCUUGAAAUGUGAAAUUUGGUCAUUACACACCAAAUAAAAGCAAACUUAGAAAGUAAACGCAAUUUAAACUGCCUCAAGCAAAUUUUUGAAAAGCAGAUGAUUAGGGCCAGAAAGACCACCUACUGCCAGGUUAAACACAAACUCAAACCACUGGACAGAUCCUUUUAAAGCAACAUAAGGCAGAACUUUCAAGAUUUAAAAGAAAUGCAACACCACGGGACAGUGGUCCAUACAUUGAGAGGAAGCCUAAACAAUUGAGUAACUCAAUGCCAAAAGCUGGAAGUCCAAUAGUAGAAUGGGAAUAUGAAAACAAUAUAGUUAAGAUUCUUAAAUGAGUUUAGGACUUACCCAUAACAUGAACUGAUAAUCCACUGUCCGCCAUGGUUUCCUUAAUUUAUUUUGAAUGACCUUCAAACUGAUCCCUCAGCAACUCGUACUUCUUGAGCUCAGCCAUGGAGAGGGAAGGGGAGAGUUCUCCCAAG
rnacentral:lncRNA from 1 species